rnacentral:rRNA from 1 species
UCGGGAAUUUUGGGCAAUGGGGGAAACCCUGACCCAGCAACGCCGCGUGAAGGAUGAAGUAUUUCGGUAUGUAAACUUCGAAAGAAUAGGAAGAAUAAAUGACGGUACUAUUUAUAAGGUCCGGCUAACUACGUGCCAGCAGCCGCGGUAAUACGUAGGGACCAAGCGUUGUUCGGAUUUACUGGGCGUAAAGGGCGCGUAGGCGGCAUGACAAGUCACUUGUGAAAUCUCUGGGCUUAACCCAGAACGGCCAAGUGAUACUGUCGCGCUAGAGUGCAGAAGGGGCAAUCGGAAUUCUUGGUGUAGCGGUGAAAUGCGUAGAUAUCAAGAGGAACACCUGAGGUGAAGACGGGUUGCUGGGCUGACACUGACGCUGAGGCGCGAAAGCCAGGGGAGCAAACGGGAUUAGAUACCCACGUAGUCCCUGAG